rnacentral:rRNA from 1 species
GAACGCUAGCGGGAUGCCUUACACAUGCAAGUCGAACGGCAGCACGGACUUCGGUCUGGUGGCGAGUGGCGAACGGGUGAGUAAUGUAUCGGAACGUGCCUAGUAGCGGGGGAUAACUACGCGAAAGCGUAGCUAAUACCGCAUACGCCCUACGGGGGAAAGCAGGGGAUCGUAAGACCUUGCACUAUUAGAGCGGNCGAUAUCGGAUUAGCUAGUUGGUGGGGUAACGGCUCACCAAGGCGACGAUCCGUAGNNNNUUUGANNNGACGACCAGCCACACUGGGACUGAGACACGGCNCACACUCCUACGGGAGGCAGCAGUGGGGAAUUUUGGACAAUGGGGGAAACCCUGAUCCAGCCAUCCCGCGUGUGCGAUGNAGGCCUUCGGGUUGUAAAGCACUUUUGGCAGGAAAGAAACAUCGNNNGUUAAUACNNNGCGAAACUGACAGUACCNGCAGAAUAAGCACCGGCUAACUACGUGCCAGCAGCCNCGGUAAUACGUAGGGUGCAAGCGNUAAUCGGAAUUACUGGGCGUAAAGCGUGCGCAGGCGNNNNNGAAAGAAAGAUGUGAAAUCCCAGANNNUAACUUUNGAACUGCAUUUUUAACUACCGAGCUAGAGUGUGUCAGAGGGAGGUGGAAUUC